rnacentral:rRNA from 1 species
CCUACGGGUGGCAGCAGUGGGGAAUAUUGGACAAUGGGCGAAAGCCUGAUCCAGCCAUGUCGCGUGUGUGAAGAAGGCCUUCGGGUUGUAAAGCACUUUCAGUGGGGAAGAAAGCCUUGGGGCUAAUACCCUCGAGGAAGGACAUCACCCACAGAAGAAGCACCGGCUAACUCCGUGCCAGCAGCCGCGGUAAUACGGAGGGUGCGAGCGUUAAUCGGAAUUACUGGGCGUAAAGCGCGCGUAGGCGGUCUGAUAAGCCGGUUGUGAAAGCCCCGGGCUCAACCUGGGAACGGCAUCCGGAACUGUCAGGAUAGAGUGCAGGAGAGGAAGGUAGAAUUCCCGGUGUAGCGGUGAAAUGCGUAGAGAUCGGGAGGAAUACCAGUGGCGAAGGCGGCCUUCUGGACUGACACUGACGCUGAGGUGCGAAAGCGUGGGUAGCAAACAGGAUUAGAUACCCGUGUAGUC